GCAGCUCAGCUGGCAGAGCAUGAGACUGUUAAUUUCAGAGUUGUGGGGUCGAGCCCCACACCU
rnacentral:tRNA from 1 species